AUUGAACGCUGGCGGAAUGCUUUACACAUGCAAGUCGAGCGGCAGCGCGGGGGCAACCCUGGCGGCGAGCGGCAAACGGGUGAGUAACAUAUCGGAACGUACCCCGUCGUGGGGGAUAACACAGCGAAAGCUGUGCUAAUACCGCAUACGACCUGAGGGUGAAAGCGGGGGAUUGCAAGACCUCGCGCGAUGGGAGCGGCCGAUAUCGGAUUAGCUUGUUGGUGAGGUAAAGGCUCACCAAGGCGACGAUCCGUAGCUGGUCUGAGAGGAUGAUCCGCCACACUGGAACUGAGACACGGUCCAGACUCCUACGGGAGGCAGCAGUGGGGGAAUUUUUGGACAAUGGGGGGCAACCCUGAUCCAGCCAUGCCGCGUGAGUGAAGAAGGCCU
rnacentral:rRNA from 1 species